GCGGGUAGAGCUCAGUGGUAAAGUGUGUGCCUAGCAUGCACAAAGUCCUGGGUUCAAUCCUCAGUGUCUCCA
rnacentral:tRNA from 1 species